UAAAAAAAAGGUGAUGUAAGAUGGUGCUAUUUCUAUGGUGAAUAUCUAUGCACGUUAAAUAGUUUGCGGAUAGAAAGCCAGCCUGUAUGUUUAUCCAAUGCAGUAAAAAAGCAAUUGCUCAAUAAUUUUUUAUAUUUGAGAAUAUUUUAGAGAAAAAAAAAUAACAUUUAAAAUAGGAAAUCACUUAAUAGAAAUGUUUUAGAUGCA
rnacentral:lncRNA from 1 species